rnacentral:lncRNA from 1 species
UGUUCAUGUACCGCCGCGUGUAGGACGUACUAACGAACUUUCUCUUUACGUUCUCGCGGCUGUCACAACCUCGUGGUUUUUGGCGUUGCCUUAUAAGCCGUUCCCUCCAUUCGUUCCUUGCGGGAAGCGACGUCUAAAGCAAUCGAAGCCUCGUGGUUUUUGGCGUGGCCUGUUCGGCUCUAUCGCGCCGUUCCCUCCGUUCGUUCCUGGCGGAGCGACGUCCAAAGACCUACAGAAGGGCUCUUUAUGUCCCUCUGUCCGGUGGUGGUUGCAAGCGAGGCCUGCACCGUUAUUGCCAUCACCAUAGUCUGAAGCAGGGCUCUGCCUGGCUCUGCGUCCCUCUGUCCACUGGUGGUCGCAAUCGAGGCCUGCACCGUAAUUGCCAUCACCAUAGUCUGAAGGUUUUCUGCACGUAAAGCGCAAGAUGGAGCAUGGACAAGUUUUUUUUGUUUUUUUAAUCGUCCAAGGCAUGGAGUUUUACUGAAGUUGAGCUAUGGUCCCGUUACAAGUGGUUUCUUCAGAUGAAAGCGUAGACUGGGGUCCGAACAAGGUGUUCUUUUUUUAACUGGCCCAGGCACAUUGUUUUAUUGAAGGUGAGCUAUGGUCUCCUACCCGCCUUACUUGUCACAGACAUUAUUUGCUGCCCUAGAUUUUUCUUCUCUUUUGAAAUGUCAGUUGGUUUUCAACUAAAUAUGCA